rnacentral:rRNA from 1 species
GAAAGAUACUCAAUGUGCAUGGCGGAUGCCUUGGGUCUUGAUGCCGAAGAAGGACGUGCUAGGCUGCGAUAAGCCUCGAGAAGCUGCCAAGAAGCGUUAUACUCGGGGAUUUCCGAAUGGGGAAACCCGGCUGUCGUAAGACAGUCGUCUCUUACUGAAGACUCGCUUUUCGCGAGUUAUAGGUAAGUUGAAGGUAAGCCGGUGAACUGAAACAUCUUAGUAGCCGGAAGAACAGAAACCAAAACAAUCCUAAUUUAUUAGGAAAGGUAUUUCCUUAGUAGCGGCGAGCGAAAGGGAAUUAGCCCAAACUCGAAUUAGAUCUAUUCAAUUAGAUCCAUUGAGAUCUUGUUCGCAAGAUCUUAGUGAUUUGAGGGUUUGGAAACUCUAUGCCUUAAGGCAAAAAAGUUAGAAAAUUUUUUGUAGAAGAAGCUUGCUGGAAAGCGGCGCCACAGAGGGUAAUAGCCCCGUAAGCGAAACAAAAAAUCUUUUCGAGUUUUCCAGAGUAACACGAGACACGUGUAACCUCGUGUGAAGGAAGCAGGACCAUCUGCUAAGGCUAAACACAUCAAGACACCGAUAGCGGACUAGUACCGUGAGGGAAAGGUGAAAAGAACCCCGGGAAGGGGAGUGAAAUAGAACCUGAAACCGUGCACAGACAAGCUGAUAGAGCCUGUUCGCUUUAGCGAAUGGGUGAUAUUGUGCCUAUUGAAAAAUGAGCCAGCGAGUUAAUGGUACGUGCAAGCUUAAGCGAUUCAGUCGUGGAAGCGUAGGGAAACCAAGUCUUAACCGGCGCAAGUACGUGCUAUUAGACCCGAAGCCAAGUGAUCUAACCAUGGGCAGGGUGAAGUCCGUCGAAAGGCGGAUGGAGGCCCGAACCGGUGUAUGUGGAAAAAUGCUCGGAUGACCUGUGGUUAGGACUAAAACGGUAAUCGAACUUGGCGAUAGCUGGUUCUCCCCGAAAUAUAUGUAGGUAUAGCCUUGAUCUUAUAUGGACUGUGAGGUAGAGAUACUGAAAAGAGAUUGGGCGCUUUGCGUACCAACUCUUACCAAACUCCGAAUGCGCAGUCCUUUUGAUCAGGAGUCAGUUCUAGGGAGCAAGUUCCUAGCGCGAAAGGGAAAGAUCCCAGACCAUCAGCUAAGGUCCCUAAUCUUUCCGCCCUCGGGCGGGCCCUCGCCUUGUGCGAGAGGUGCUUAGUGAGAAAGGCAGUGAAAUUGUUUAGACAGCUAGGAGGUUAGCUUAGAAGCAGCAAUCCUUUAAAGAAAGCGUAACAGCUCACUAGUUAAACGAUUUUGCGCCUAAAAUUUAACGGGACUCAAGCAAAGAACCGACGCUAUGGUUUUGUUGUUCCUUCGGGAGCAGCAGAAGGUAGGGGAGCAUUGAUGUCGUGUCGAAUUAAAACCUCGACAACAUGGCAGUGAAGAUAGACUCGCGAGAGCUAUUGGAGCGGCAUCAAGAGAGAAUGCUGGCAUGAGUAACGAGAAGGCGGUGAAAACCCGCCUCGCCGAAAGUCUAAGGGUUCCUCCGCUAUGUCAGUCAACGGAGGGUUAGUCGGCCCUAAGGUGAGGCCGAAAGGCGUAGCCGAUGGAUAGCGGGUUAAUAUUCCCGCACUACUAUAAAACCGUUAUUACCAAUGGAGGGACGGAGUUUGAUAAGUCGAGCCCAUUAAGGAUUUGGGUUCCAAGAGCAAGUUAGAGGAUGCAGGAAAAUCCGCAUUCUCGUUUAAGGCGAGCUCGAGGAAGAAGUCCAUCUUCGGAUGGAGCAUUCGACUGCGUUAAGCUUCCAGGAAAAGCUUCUAGGGAGGUUUUGUAGUAUCCGUACCGCAAACCGACACAGGUAGACAGGUAGAGUAUACCAAGGCGAACGAGAGAAUCGUGACCGAGGAACUAGGCAAAUUACAUCCGUAACCUCGGGAAAAGGAUGCCCUAUCGAAAGGUAGGGGGCACAGAAAUGGCUCAAGCGACUGUUUAUUAAAAACACAGGUCUCUGCUAAACUCGUAAGAGGAUGUAUAGGGGCCGACACCUGCCCAGUGCCUGUAAGUUAAGACCGAAGGUAAUUUCCUUCUUGUAAGGAAUGAGCUUUUGGUUCAAGCUCGGGUGAACGGCAGCAAUAACUAUAAUUGUUCUAAGGUAGCGUAAUCCCUUGCCGGGUAAGUUCCGGCCUGCACGAAAGGUGUAACGACUUGAGCACUCUCUUAGUCACGAACUCGGUGAAAUUGAACUACCGGUAAAGAUGCCGGUUACCUGUUGCUGGACAGAAAGACCCCGUGGAGCUUUACUGUAUUCUGACAUUGGUGCGUGCUGUUGACUGUGUAGAGUAGGAGGGAGUGUUUUGCCGCCCAAGGGUAGCAAAACACGUCAAUGAAACACCUCUCUUUUAACAGUGCAAACCUAACUAUCUUCCGUUAUCCGGAAGGAGGACAAUGUUUGAAGGACAGUUUAUCUGGGGCGGAUUCCUGCUAAAAAGUAACGCAGGAGCACAAAGGUUCCCUUAUCUCGGAUGGAAAUCGAGAUGUAAGCGUAAAGGUAUAUGGGAGCUUGACUGCAAGACAGACAAGUCGCGCAGAUACGAAAGUAGGUCUUAGUGAUCUUCCGUGAGCCUAAUGGUAGGCCCGGAACUUAUCGGAUAAAAGUUACCCCGGGGAUAACAGGCUAAUAGUGCCCGAGCGCCCACAGCGGCGGCACUGUUUGGCACCUCGAUGUCGACUCUUCUUAUCCUGGGGCUGGAGCAGGUCCCAAAGGUUGGACUGUUCGUCCAUUAAAAAGGAGCGUUAGUUGGGUUUAGAGCGUCGUGAGACAGCUCGGUCCCUUUCCGCAACAGGCGUAGAGUUUUGAGGGGAGUCAUUCCUAGUACGAGAGGACCGGAAUGAACGAGUCUCUAGUGCACCAGUUGUUCCGCCAGGAGCAUCGCUGGGUAGCUACACUCGGACGUGAUAAGCGCUGAAAGCAUCUAAGCACGAAGCACACCCCAAGAUUAGAACUCAUCCCAUUUAUGGGACGCAAUUCCUGGGAGAUUACCAGGUUGAUAGGCUGUAGGUGUAACCCCCGUAAGGGGCGUGUAGAUUCUUCUUUGUUGAUUUUGACUUUUUGGAGU